AAGAAAGGAGUCCUAAACUACAAUGUACCCUUCACUCUACAAAUACAAACCUUACACUCUGGUUACUAAGAAGUUUGUUACCUAGCAAUGUAUUUUGACACUACCCAGUUUCAGUAGAAAAUAUAUAAAGAUAAAUGAAUAUUACACUCACAACUACCAUAAAUUUGUUGCUCAAAAAAAGAACAAAUUUAAAAAAAACAGACAACUUAAGCAAGAAAAACAAGGAGCUAUGAUGUACAUGAUUUCAAAAGGAUGAUUCACCCUUAAUGAGUAUUUUAAGUGAUUACAAAAGGCUGAAGUGAUCAGAUUAUUACAACUACCAAAUACCAGACUACCAGAAGAUCCUAUUAUUUAAUCCUUAGUGAAAUAGACCCUGAAACUAUCAAAAGAUUUUUUAAAAAUGUAAAGUUCCUUUUGAGAAGCAAUACAAUGCUAAAUGGCAAGUCCCCAUUCUAAAUUUGUUUUAUACAGACAUAGAUUGAGUCAAGAUAAAAACUGAAUCUCUGUUGUGGAAAUGGCCUCUGCCACCUCCAAUCAUGUCCUAACUCCAAAAAAGGCUCAGUAAAGAGGUUCCUAAACUGAAGAGGAAAACAAAUGCUGACUGACAGCGAGCAAGUUCUAAAGCAAAAGUUGGUGAAGAAAGAGUAAAAGAACAGCAAAUAAGCAAUGGUUGGAUCAAGAAAUCGCUUCCCCAAAGGCAUCUUAAAUAUAAUUGCACUUUAGGAAGAGUUCAGAAAGUUAUCAAACCUACUACACUAAAGCCAAAUUAAGACUACCUUUUUUCUUUUCAAAGCUAAAGUCUAAUUUUUCAGUUUUAGAAGACCUAAAUUAUGGAGUCAUGACGUGUCCAUUAUUAUCUUAAGAUGUCAAGAGUCUGUAAGAUUUUUUUUCCCUUCAAUAAAAUUCAUUUUACUAGGAGAAGCAAGGGAGCCAAGAGAAAUCUGACAUUUCAGAUUCUUUCAAUAUUACUAUCUUUCACUGAUUCUAAGUAACCCAUUUCACAUCUUUCGUAUUAGGUUUCUUUCUUCAGUUUCCUUUACUCUUGAGAGAAAAAUGAGUGUCACCCUAACAUUUGAUGAAAGCUAUAAUAAACUAAUAUUAUAUUAGUUUUAUAUAGUUUAUGCAAUAUUACAUAUUGGAUGUUAUAUAGUAAUUUACUUACCUAGGCUAAUAAAUAUUGGCAAAGGCAAAUGAAAGCAAAGCCCCUGGGCUCUUAGGGGUUUUUAGCUAGAGGGGAAAAAUGGUAUGCCAAAAUGUUAAGCCAUUACAAGGAAUGAUACAGUAAAUACCUGGCAUAAACAGGACUGGUGAUCUAACCUGAUCAACAACAUUACUCAAUGGAGGCCUCUCUGGAGGCAAAGAUGUGAGCUACAGAGAGAACUACGAAGAAGUGAACAAGUGUGAGACUGCAGAGGCAAAAAGGAAUUGAGUAUCUCUGGGUUUCACAAAUUUUGUAAAGACUUUGUCUUUUUUCUACUCAUAGAGAUUGAAACUGAUGGGAAGGCAACUAAUUGUUUCUGGAACACAAAAUUCAAUUUGUGUCUUGAGAAACAUCCCUCAGGCCAUACUGCAAAGAAUGAGUAUGUUUAGCACAAGGGUACCUACCAGGAGAUCAAGUACAAUAUCAUACUUUAAACCAGUUAGGAAAUACAGGAUUAA